CAACCUCAACUCAUAUGGGACUACCCCCUGAAUUUAAGCAUAUUAAUUAGGGGAGGAAAAGAAACUAACAAGGAUUUUCUUAGUAGCGGCGAGCGAAAAGAAAACAGUUCAGCACUAAGUCACUUUGUCUAUAUGGCAAAUGUGAGAUGCAGUGUAUGGAGCGUCAAUAUUCUAGUAUGAGAAAUUAAUGAUUUAAGUCCUUCUUAAAUGAGGCCAUUUACCCAUAGAGGGUGCCAGGCCCGUAUAACGUUAAUGAUUGCUAGAUGAUGUUUCCAAAGAGUCGUGUUGCUUGAUAGUGCAGCACUAAGUGGGUGGUAAACUCCAUCUAAAACUAAAUAUAACCAUGAGACCGAUAGUAAACAAGUACCGUGAGGGAAAGUUGAAAAGAACUCUGAAUAGAGAGUUAAACAGUACGUGAAACUGCUUAGAGGUUAAGCCCGAUGAACCUGAAUAUCCGUUAUGGAAAAUUCAUCAUUAAAAUUGUAAUAUUUAAAUAAUAUUAUUAAGAAUAAUGUGCAUUUUUUCCAUAUAAGGACAUUGUAAUCUAUUAGCAUAUCCCAAAUUUAUCAUAAAAUAUAACUUAUAGUUUAUUCCAAUUAAAUUGCUUGCAUUUUAACACAGAAUAAAUGUUAUUAAUUUGAUAAAGUGCUGAUAGAUUUAUAUUAUUACAGAGCGUUAAUUUUUCGGAAUUAUAUAAUGGCAUAAUUAUCAUUGAUUUUUGUGUUUAUUAUAUGCUCUUGUAUGAUUAACAAUGCGAAAGAUUCAGGAUACCUUCGGGACCCGUCUUGAAACACGGACCAAGGAGUCUAACAUAUGUGCAAGUUAUUGGGAUGUAAACCUAAUAGCGUAAUUAACUUGACUAGUAGGGCGAGUAGCUACUUAGCUAGUUAUAGCUAAUUAACACGAUCCCGGGGCGAUCUAUAGAGUUAUGUAUAAUGCAUAUUUAUAUUAUUUAUGCCUCUAACUGGAACGUAACUCGAGCAUAUAUGCUGUGACGCGAAAGAUGCUGAACUAUACUUGAUCAGGCUGAAGUCAGGGGAAACCCUGAUGGAAGACCGAAACAGAUCUGACGUGCAAAUCGAGUGUCAGAAUUGAGUACAGGGGCGAAAGACCAAUCGUACCAUCAAGUAGCUGGUUCCUUCCGAAGUUUCGCUCAGGAUAGCUGGUGCACUUUAAUACUAUAUAACAUAAUCUUAUCUGGUA
rnacentral:ncRNA from 1 species